GGGAUUGCCCUAGUAACGGCGAGUGAAGCGGCAACAGCUCAAAUUUGAAAUCUGGCCUUCUGGUCCGAGUUGUAAUUUGUAGAGGAUGAUUUUGGUGCGGUACCUUCCGAGUUCCCUGGAACGGGACGCCUUAGAGGGUGAGAGCCCCGUACGGUUGGAUGCCUAGCCUCUGUAAAUCUCCUUCGACGAGUCGAGUAGUUUGGGAAUGCUGCUCUAAAUGGGAGGUAAAUUUCUUCUAAAGCUAAAUACUAGCCAGAGACCGAUAGCGCACAAGUAGAGUGAUCGAAAGAUGAAAAGCACUUUGAAAAGAGGGUUAAACAGCACGUGAAAUUGUUAAAAGGGAAGCGCUUAUGACCAGACUUUUUCUAGGCGGAUCAUCCGGUGUUCUCACCGGUGCACUUCGCCUAGUUUAGGCCAGCAUCGGUUUCUAUAGGGAGAUAAAAGCUUCAGGAAUGUGGCUCCCUCGGGAGUGUUAUAGCCUGUUGUAUAAUAUCCUUACGGGGACCGAGGUACGCGCUCUGCAAGGAUGCUGGCAUAAUGGUCAUCAGCGACCCGUCUUGAAACACGGACCAAGGAGUCGAACAUUUGUGCGAGUGUUUGGGUGUUAAACCCUCACGCGUAAUGAAAGUGAACGGAGGUGAGAGCCUUAUGGGUGCAUCAUCGACCGAUCCUGAUGUCUUCGGAUGGAUUUGAGUAGGAGCAUAACUGUUCGGACCCGAAAGAUGGUGAACUAUGCGUGGAUAGGGUGAAGCCAGAGGAAACUCUGGUGGAGGCUCGCAGCGGUUCUGACGUGCAAAUCGAUCGUCAAAUCUGCGCAUGGGGGCGAAAGACUAAUCGAACCAUUAAACCAGCGGUAAAUUUUAUUUACUAGGUGGUUAAGAGGGCGCCCGAGAGGGCAAAUACAAACCUAGGUUUGGGACGACCUACCCGGUAGC
rnacentral:rRNA from 1 species